CUUCUAGCCUGUUUACUGUAUUAUUCAGCUUACCCCGGUGCAUAAAUUUGAAUCACGAAUUCUGGGAAGAUAUAAACAAGAGCACCCACAACACCUCCUAAAAAUAUCAACUAGUCUUCGACAAACUCCACCUACACAGAAGAUUCUUUCUGUAACAUGGAUAUAGAUAACUAACAGCAUUACGAUUUUCUUUCCUUUUCAUCCGUUCCUCGACAAUGUUACCUAAUAGCUGGAAGGAUGCAUGUCUCCCAACACAUAAGCAUCAACAAAUUCACUAGUAAUAACACUAUGACAUUCAGAAUCAACUAAAAUUGAAGCAAAACAAACUCUCAAGUUUCAGGCAAAUAAUCUUCACCAUCAAGCAUUCAAGCUUACCCAUCAGGAGUCGCGAAACGCGCAGCAUAAGUCUUCGGCUUCGCUUUAUCUCCAUAGAGGGACAGUCCAGCAUUAUAGUCCUACAAAAUCCAGUAACACAGCAAUCUAUGAAAUCAAUCAAUAAAAAUGAAUCUAUAAUCCAGCAGGCAUAAAAUGCAGAAUCUCUUGA
rnacentral:lncRNA from 1 species